rnacentral:rRNA from 1 species
GACGAACGCUGGCGGCGCGCCUAACACAUGCAAGUCGAACGAGCGAGAGAGAGCUUGCUUUCUCAAGCGAGUGGCGAACGGGUGAGUAACGCGUGAGGAACCUGCCUCAAAGAGGGGGACAACAGUUGGAAACGACUGCUAAUACCGCAUAAGCCCACGACCCGGCAUCGGGUUGAGGGAAAAGGAGCAAUCCGCUUUGAGAUGGCCUCGCGUCCGAUUAGCUAGUUGGUGAGGUAACGGCCCACCAAGGCAACGAUCGGUAGCCGGACUGAGAGGUUGAACGGCCACAUUGGGACUGAGACACGGCCCAGACUCCUACGGGAGGCAGCAGUGGGGAAUAUUGCACAAUGGGGGAAACCCUGAUGCAGCGACGCCGCGUGGAGGAAGAAGGUCUUCGGAUUGUAAACUCCUGUUGUUGAGGAAGAUAAUGACGGUACUCAACAAGGAAGUGACGGCUAACUACGUGCCAGCAGCCGCGGUAAAACGUAGGUCACAAGCGUUGUCCGGAAUUACUGGGUGUAAAGGGAGCGCAGGCGGGAAGACAAGUUGGAAGUGAAAUCUAUGGGCUCAACCCAUAAACUGCUUUCAAAACUGUUUUUCUUGAGUAGUGCAGAGGUAGGCGGAAUUCCCGGUGUAGCGGUGGAAUGCGUAGAUAUCGGGAGGAACACCAGUGGCGAAGGCGGCCUACUGGGCACCAACUGACGCUGAGGCUUGAAAGUGUGGGUAGCAAACAGG